UUGUUUCCUGUUUUUGUUGAUUUAUGCAUUCUUGAUUCUUGUUUUUGUUAAUUUUAGUUGAUUAUCUUCAAUUAGGUUUUGAAUUUGAUAUUGUUUUUGUCUUCAAUUCUGUUCAAUUAAGGUUCAAUGUGUUUUUGAUCUAUAUCUUUAAUCUCUUGUUUCUUGUUUUUGUUGAUCUAUGCAUUCUUGAUUCUUGUUUUUGUUAAUUUUAGUUGAUUAUCUUCAAUUAGGUUUUGAAUUUGAUAUUGUUUUUGUCUUCAAUUCUGUUCAAUUCAGGUUCAAUGUGUUUUUGAUCUAUAUCUUUAAUCUCUUGAUUCUUGUUUUUGUUAAUUUUAGUUGAUUAUCUUCAAUUAGGUUUUGAAUUUGAUAUUGUUUUUGUCUUCAAUUCUGUUCAAUUCAGGUUCAAUGUCUUUUCAUUCUAUUAUCUUUAAUCUCUUGUUUCUUUUUUGUGUUGAUUUUAGUUUCAAUUAGGUUUCGAAUUUGAUCUUGUUUGUUAUGUUGUUGAUGCUUCGAUUUUUUUGCCGCUGCAUUUCCAUUCUUUUCAAUUCUAUUUUUUUUUUUUCAAUUUUGUUGUGAUUCUAUCUACUAUGGUGAAUGAAUCUCUGGUUAAGAAUAAGAAGGUUGUGAAAGAUUCAAAACUACCUUUUCUGGGUGCAUUCCUAAAACUCUUUGUUAAGAGUUCUUCCACCGGUAAAAAACUACUAUGUUUAUCCUGAAAUUUUAGUUUGUUGUUCAUUUUCUUAUUGAAUUAUUAAACUACUAUGUUUAUCAUGAAAUGUUAGUUUGUUGUUCAUAUUCUUAUUGAAUUAUUAUGCUGUUUUAGGGUGCGGACGUCGUCGUCCGGAGGGCGAACCAAGUGCCGCUCAAUGCGUUGAGGGCAAUUGUCCAAAUGAAGUGCUUUUUGGUACCAUGUGUGAACUUCACAGGCAAAAGAAAAAGAAAUAUAAUUGGAACUAUCGUCAAAGGGUGAAGGCGAAGGCGGAGGCUAGGGGUGACCCUCCCAAUCCACCAUUGCCCCAUCCGGGAUCCUUCGUGGAAGACGGGUGCUGCAUUUGGCGAUGCCCUUUGGGUGCUAUUGAGGGACAGCAAUACUGUGAGGAGCAUUUGCCUCCAGGUUUCGAGGAUCACGAUAAUCUUGCUCUUGGAGGAGCUGACAACCUCAUGAGGAUGUAUCAGGGGAUUCAGUGAUCUAGAUAAUGAGUUUAGUUUUAGUUAUCCAACAAGAAGGUCAUCAUCAUCAUCAUCGUUAUAGACAGACAUGCAUUUUGGAGAGUCAUUGAUUUUUGUCUGUGUACUUUGUAUGGUUGUUCACUGAAGGCUGAUACUUUGUAUGGUUGUUCACAAUUAGGAGAGGUACUUUCAAACGUGUGGUUUCACUUGGAAACUCUGAUACUUUGUAUGGUUGUUCACUGAAAUUUGCUUGAUGUCUUUAGUUGUAGUGAUGUUGGUUGCAUGUAUGGAAUUCUAAUAGGCUGAUAACAAAAAGAAACAUAUUAUACAUGCACAUAUCUGAAUGCGUCAGAUUCCACUUAAACUGUAAUUCAG